GUCUACGAUUAACUAGAGUAUCACUAGGUGUUGUCAAUCAAAAGUGUGUGUGUGACACCAUUCCUAAAAGCAAGUCCUGUAAGAGCUACACCCUCACAAAAAAUACCCUAGGAAUAGGCCGUUAGUGUUGAAUAUUUGUUAAUGAUCCUUCCGCAGGUUCACCUACGGAAA
rnacentral:misc_RNA from 1 species